GUUCAAGUCUUCCCAGGCCCACCAUUUUGAUCGAGUGCGGAGCAUUCGUCUUCUGGUACGGGGCCAUAGCUCAGCUGGGAGAGCGCGUGCUUUGCAAGCAUGAGGUCGUCGGUUCGAUCCCGUCUGGCUCCACCAGAUGGAAUUGAAGCUCGAGAAUGCCUCGUCAAAUUCGUCCGCGAAACAUCACUUCGCACUCAUUGGUCCGGAUGGACGGUGACGUGCGUGUUUUCUGACAUCGUAAAGAGGAGAUCGAUCCGAGUUUGGAUCUGCGAAGCAAUUCGCGGGUACCAUUCCUAAUCUCCAAAUCGUUUUCGGCGCUCGUUCAUCGCUACUCAUCGCAAGAUGAGUGAGAUGAUCGAGUUGUAAAACGAUUUUUGUAGCGAAGCUUGACCGCCUCGCUAUCGGGCCGAUCUUACGAAGCAAGCUGGUCUUUCUAGUCAAUGUCCGGCUGUGCAAUCGCAUUCAUCGAGGAUGCGCGCCUGAGACUUCGGUCUUUGGGCAAUUACACAGACAACAUUCUGCCGAGUGUGUGGACAUUGAUAAUGAGAGC
rnacentral:tRNA from 1 species